UACGUAGGUGGCAAGCGUUGUCCGGAUUUACUGGGCGUAAAGGGCGCGUAGGCGGCCUCAGGUGUCGGAUGUGAAAGCCCGGGGCUCAACCCCGGAGGUGCAUCCGAAACUCUGGGGCUGGAGGUCGGAAGAGGAGGGUGGAAUACCCAGUGUAGAGGUGAAAUUCGUAGAUAUUGGGUGGAACACCGGUGGCGAAAGCGGCUCUCUGGUCCGGACCUGACGCUGAGGCGCGAAAGCGUGGGGAGCAAACAGG
rnacentral:rRNA from 1 species